rnacentral:lncRNA from 1 species
GUCGGUUUUCAAAUUUUAUUAUACUAAUUAAGCAUUGAGAGUACUUAUAGAUUAUCGUUGAUCAUCUCAUCGAGAUUGAUUUUCUCGUUUGAGCCGGUUCUGCAAAAAGUAGAAAAACAAUCAAAUUGAGGUGACCAGUUAUAUUCUGUUAUCGCUUUUUUAUAAAUGACGACGUUGUUUACUUCAUUGAAAACGGCACGUGCACCCUUAUUUCUAGCGAUUAUUGUUUAGAUCACUCUACUGUUCUAAGAAAAGAAAUUAUAUGUCAAUAAGAUCAUAUUAUGUAAGGGAAAAAAAAGUAAAUUAGUGAUUUAUUCGACGUCAUCGUUCCAGACUGCGAAUCCACCUCUAUUUCGUUCAAUACAUUUCUUGUAAGAACAGGUAUAUCCUUUACAACAGUCUGUCUUAGAUUUGCAAUCUCUUCCUGCACACAUCUUGCAGAAUACGUUAAUACAGAUAUACCCAUUACAGCAUCGACGAAUUCUGCAAAUCUUAUAUGCACAUGUCGGUGCUCUUUUUAUAAGC